rnacentral:rRNA from 1 species
GGCUCGCGGCCUAUCAGCUUGUUGGUGAGGUAAUGGCUCACCAAGGCGUCGACGGGUAGCCGGCCUGAGAGGGUGACCGGCCACACUGGGACUGAGACACGGCCCAGACUCCUACGGGAGGCAGCAGUGGGGAAUAUUGCACAAUGGGCGGAAGCCUGAUGCAGCAACGCCGCGUGAGGGAUGACGGCCUUCGGGUUGUAAACCUCUUUUAGCAGGGAAGAAGCGAAAGUGACGGUACCUGCAGAAAAAGCGCCGGCUAACUACGUGCCAGCAGCCGCGGUAAUACGUAGGGCGCAAGCGUUAUCCGGAAUUAUUGGGCGUAAAGAGCUCGUAGGCGGUUUGUCGCGUCUGCUGUGAAAUCCCGAGGCUCAACCUCGGGCCUGCAGUGGGUACGGGCAGACUAGAGUGCGGUAGGGGAGAUUGGAAUUCCUGGUGUAGCGGUGGAAUGCGCAGAUAUCAGGAGGAACACCGAUGGCGAAGGCAGAUCUCUGGGCCGUAACUGACGCUGAGGAGCGAAAGGGUGGGGAGCAAACAGGCUUAGAUACCCUGGUAGUCCACCCCGUAAA